rnacentral:lncRNA from 1 species
GAAGAUCAAUAUGGUCCAGAUGGGUUUUUUAAUGAAUAUGAUGACAGUCUAGUCAGCAAUAACAGUAGGAAGAGGGGAAGUAGCAACAGCACCAAGUCCACUGCCACUAGUCCUGCAAAGAAAUCUAAAAGCCCUUUGAUGAAGAUGAUGAGCAGCCUAGUUGACAAGUUGACUACCUCUGAAGAUAAUAAUGAUAACAUAUUCAGUAAUGUGGGGGAGACUCUUGCUAUCAGUCUCAAUGAGAAAAGACAGAAGCUGACCCCUAUGCAAGAGAUGGCACAGUUUGUUA